UACAGGGGGGGCAAGCGUUGUUCGGAAUUACUGGGCGUAAAGGGUGCGUAGGCGGCCUAUUAAGUCAGUGGUGAAAUAUUUCAGCUCAACUGGAAUUGUGCCAUUGAUACUGAUGGGCUUGAGUACAGAUGAGGUAGGCGGAAUUGACGGUGUAGCGGUGAAAUGCUUAGAUAUCGUCAAGAACACCUAUAGCGAAGGCAGCUUACUAGGCUGUAACUGACGCUGAGGCACGAAAGUGUGGGGAUCAAACAGG
rnacentral:rRNA from 1 species